UACGAAUGGGGCAAGCGUUGUUCGGAAUCACUGGGCUUAAAGCGUGCGCAGGCGGAUCUGAAAGUCAGAAGUGAAAGCCCGAGGCUCAACCUCGGAAUAGCUUUUGAAACUCCAGAUCUAGAAUCCGGUAGAGGUUAGGAGAAUUCCUAGUGUAGAGGUGAAAUUCGCAGAUAUUAGGAGGAAUACCAGUGGCGUAGGCGCCUAACUGGACCGGUAUUGACGCUCAUGUACGAAAGCGUGGGGAGCAAACAGG
rnacentral:rRNA from 1 species